UACGGGGGGGGCAAGCGUUGUUCGGAAUUACUGGGCGUAAAGCGUGCGCAGGCGGUUGUGUAAGACAGAUGUGAAAUCCCCGGGCUCAACCUGGGAACUGCAUUUGUGACUGCACGGCUCGAGUGCGGCAGAGGGGGAUGGAAUUCCGCGUGUAGCAGUGAAAUGCGUAGAUAUGCGGAGGAACACCGAUGGCGAAGGCAAUCCCCUGGGCCUGCACUGACGCUCAUGCACGAAAGCGUGGGGAGCGAACAGG
rnacentral:rRNA from 1 species